GCUUCCCUUGUCAGAACCGGAGGUUGCCGCCUGCUCACCAAACAGACAAAGUUGUGUUUCGGGUUUCUGAGAUGAAGGAAGAAUUUCUAAAAAAGAAUACACAAACAUGGAGACAGCUUUCAUCCCGAUCUCAUGUUGAACAUCUCUUCAUAAAAAAACCUGUGUGUAAAAUGAAUUAAUGAGAUAUCCUGUCUCUGUCAUCAUUGUGUCUUGAAGUUCUCCAUCUGUCUCCAUCAGUCCAGUGUCCAGGGACGAGCAGCCCAGCGCUCAUGAGUUUUCCCCGCUGACAGAGGGGACGGAGGGCUGCACCCUGGAGCACCUGAUGGACCUGGAGGCCCACGGCCGAGGACAGCAACAGGUCGGCGAGACGCCCGCUUACCCCAAACUGCAGGCCGGCAGCGGGGUCGGCGACCUCAACAAGAACCUGCUGAUUGAAGCGUACAGCGCCGCCUCUGAAUCCUCUCAGCUCAUCCACAGCAUCGGGUCGAGCAAACUGGACGUCCAGUAGCCAGGAGCCGGCCGGUUUCUGUCGAAACAGGACGAACAGACCAAGAGGCCGAGCGCUUCUCUCUGCAGCAGCAGCAACAAUCAACAUCUCCACGAGGAACGAACGCCGAACAACUGAUCUCACAUCUGUAUCACCAAAACCUCGCGUAACAGUUAAGCUUCUGGGCACAUUUUGAGGCGGUGCAAAUGGGCAGUUUAGACUCUCACAAACACAGAAAUCAUGCAAAUAAUGUGAAGUGUAUGUAAUGACGUGGUGUAUGUGACAGAGAAGGAAGCUGUUGCAUGUUGUCAAACCACUGUAAACACUUAUACAACUUAUGAGGAUUAAAGUUCAGCGUCACAUUAAAUCUGCACGCAUCAGUCUGGGGAAUAAUACUAAAUUCCUUUAGUGUUAAUGAUCAGCCAUCAACCAAACUUAUUAUUUAUAUAAGUUAUAUAUAUAUAUUUAAUACACUUUACAGUACCUCCCUACAUUAUGGUCUGGUGUCAUUCUGCUGAGGAACAGUCAAUAUUAUUAGUUUUUCCGAUAUAAUUUAGUUUUUGGGCUAUAAAUUGUUUAAUUAUGUGCAUCAAUAGAACUCAAUAGAAAACAUAUUUUUUUGCAUUACAAAAUUCCCAGACUUCAGGCAUCCAUCUGCUCCUCGUCUCAUCUGUUGGUGUUGCCCAGCUGCACUGCCACAAAAUAUAACUCAACGGUAUCGCCCGCUUUAACCUCUCUCAUGCCUGCUUUUUGUAGAACUCUGUAAAUAGACCUGACGGGCGGAGGAGUCGGCCUCUGUAGCAGUUUAUCUGGAGGGGAGGCAGUAAAAGAAAAAAAACAGACACUGUUGUGUGAAUCCCGUGUAGCGUCUCCAGUGAGGAACUAUAGCUGACUGUUAAUGGUCGUAGUCGUGUACUUGAACAGUGUGUGGGAGUCUCUCCCUCUGUGUGUCUGAUGGUUCCUGUGUGUUUAUUUAAACUCUGAUCGGCUCUGCUCCUACGUAACGACAAACCCCUCAGUCUGCUGUGAAGAAACUCACCAUCAACGACUAUACUAUAACCCAGAAACACUUCGCCUGUCGCUUUGGCUUCAGUUUCUUCCUGCUGCUCGUCCUUCGAUCGAUGGACGAUCCACAGCGAGGACGAGAUGAACACGUCCUGUGUUUCCGCCUGCAGGUGGAGGUACAUGUUGACACAGUGUGUUGUGUAUUUGUCUGGCACUGACUGUCACCACGCUACAGCUGCAGUUUAAUAGUGUGCACUCACAGAAGUCCUGUGUUUCACUGCUCUGAAGACGCUUGUACCCCUCCCCCCCCCACAGCUUAAAUAUACCUCACCAUUCAGAACAGAGUCUGGUGUUAAACAGCCGUCUCCACCUUUCUCAUCACCUCUGAGGCCUUAAACCUCUGUAGCCCCGUCCUCCGUGUGUCACCCAGCAUGUGACACUUUAGCUGUUUUAAAAGCCUCUUUUCCACUAAAAAAGACCCUGAAACAAGAACUACGCCCCCCCCCCCUUUAAGGAAAGUCUGUGUUUGAUUCACAGCUGCACCUGUUCAGGUAGAUCAGGUCAGAUGACCAGCUGGGGGCCAUAAAGGCUCCAGGUGUACCGUGUGGAGGAUCAGGGCCAAUAGCCAGGCCAGACACUACAUUAUGGUCUGGUACCAGGUAUUCUGGUGCAGAACAUUUAAUUCCUUUAGUGUCUGUGACCAGCCACCAACCAAACUCUACACAUUUCUUUUUUAAUGUAAUUUAUUCAGUUUUUUGGGAUAAUAAAUUGUCAACAGGAUGCGUGAGUCAGCCUUUAAAAAUCCCAACAGUCCGACUGUUCAGUGACAUCAUAUGGUCCGGUGUCAUGUACGCCAUCCUGGUGACGACUAUUAACAUUCCUUUAGUGCUUUUAAACUUUCAUCUAUGUGAUUGUUCUGCCUCAGAGCAGUCCAAAAACAUUUGAAUCAGCCUUAAAGUACAACGCGGAGUAUAUUUAAACUCUUCUUCAUGCCGUUAUAAAUCAACCUUCCACAGGGACGGGUGCAAAGGGAAGUUCUUGUUGUGGAAAAGCGGCUCUGCUGCCGCUCCGAGGUGCCACGUUGAGGGGAAAUGCAACGUGUUUUCUCGUCACUGCUGCAACCUUCAGCUCAUUGUGUCACGUUCCUUCUCUCGCUGUGUCAGCUCGCUGUUCCUCCAGAUUCUGCUGAAGCUCAUCGGUCUCCAGGUUCCCCCUUGUACAUGAAGUAAAAGAUAAUAAUAAAGGACACAAUAUUAUUUAACUCUGUGACACUGCAGCUUGGUGGAAUAUAUCAUAGUAGAUGUGGUGCAUGGAUAACUGCUGAAAAAGAACAAUAAACUUCAUCAAGCCAUUCGUGUCGGUGAGCUGGAUGAAUAAUAAAUAAUCGUAUAAAAAUGGCGAACGGACACUUUGGAGUGAGGACAUGAAGGGAGACGGUAAAGAUUCAAAACUGUAUGAGAUGUUUGAUCUUUGACAUUCGUAACGAGGGACGUAUGAAAUGUAGUGUAGAGCUUAACGCAGCCACUUUUAUUUAUCAUUAUAUCUCACUGUGUGUCGACUUUAUGCUGCACUGAAAUUAAAACUGAUCUGCAAAAGUU